CCGUUGACCUCGGAUCAGGUAGGAGUUACCCGCUGAACUUAAGCAUAUCAAUAAGCGGAGGAAAAGAAACCAACCGGGAUUGCCUCAGUAACGGCGAGUGAAGCGGCAAGAGCUCAAAUUUGAAAUCUGGCCCCUCCGGGGUCCGAGUUGUAAUUUGGAGAGGAUGCUUCGGGCUCGGUCCCCAUCUAAGUGCCCCUGGAACGGGCUGUCAUAGAGGGUGAGAAUCCCGUAUGGGAUGGGCGGCCGUGCCCGUGUGAAGCUCCUUCGACGAGUCGAGUUGUUUGGGAAUGCAGCUCUAAGCGGGUGGUAAAUUUCAUCUAAAGCUAAAUACUGGCCGGAGACCGAUAGCGCACAAGUAGAGUGAUCGAAAGAUGAAAAGCACUUUGAAAAGAGAGUUAAACAGCACGUGAAAUUGUUGAAAGGGAAGCGUUGGCCACCAGACGCGCCCGGGGGGGCUCAGCCGGCACGUGUGCCGGUGUACUCCCCCCCGGACGGGUCAGCAUCGGUUUGGGCGGUCGCUGAAAGGCUCUGGGAAUGUAGCACCCUCCGGGGUGCCUUAUAGCCCAGGGUGUCAUGCGGCCCGCCUGGACCGAGGUUCGCGCUUCGGCGAGGAUGCUGGCGUAAUGGUGGUCAACGGCC
rnacentral:rRNA from 1 species